UACCGAGGGGGCCAGCGUUAUUCGGAAUUAUUGGGCGUAAAGAGCUCGUAGGCGGCUCGUCGCGUCGUCCGUGAAAACCUGCGGCUCAACCUCAGAACUGCCUUCGAUACUGGCAAUCUCGAGUCCGGAAGAGGUUGGUGGAACAGCUAGUGUAGAGGUGAAAUUCGUAGAUAUUAGCUAGAACACCAGUGGCGAAGGCGGCCAACUGGUCCGGUACUGACGCUGAGGUGCGAAAGCGUGGGGAGCAAACAGG
rnacentral:rRNA from 1 species